rnacentral:rRNA from 1 species
UACGGAGGGGGCUAGCGUUGUUCGGAAUUACUGGGCGUAAAGCGCACGUAGGCGGACUAUUAAGUCAGUGGUGAAAUCCCGGGGCUCAACCCCGGAACUGCCUUUGAUACUGGUAGUCUCGAGUCCGGAAGAGGUGAGUGGAAUUCCGAGUGUAGAGGUGAAAUGCGUAGAUAUUCGGAGGAACACCAGUGGCGAAGGCGGCUCACUGGUCCGGUACUGACGCUGAGGUGCGAAAGCGUGGGGAGCAAACAGG